AAAAAGUUUCUCAGAAUGUACACUGUUAUAGAAUGCUAAGUUUCCAAUUUGUGAGAAGAAACUCAAGGAUAUAUUUAGGUGGCUAAAAGAUGUCAUAAAAAAUCACAAGUUUAAAUGAAGAGCAUUCAUUCUAUUAAAUAUUCAUUCAGCACUCACUAUCAUCUUGCAUUCAUCACUAACCAAGUUGCAUAUAUAUAUAUAUAUAUAUGUGUGGAGAGAGAGAGAGAGAAAUACAUUGUUACUAAGUAGUCUUAUUAUUCAUUGUCUUUAAAGUUCCUUGCAUGAAAUAAAAGAACGUUGUCCCGAUGUCUUGCUUUGAAUAAACAAAUGGUUAUCAAAAAAAAAAAAACCAUAACAUCC